GUUUACUUUCGGCCACAAGAGAAAGGUGGUAGUACAAGCAAUACAACAGAAAUACUACUCUUGUGGAGCGCUAGACACUUGUUAUCUUGGAGCUUUCAGGUCGGAAAAUGUGUACAAUAAUAUAAUUAGGUGGGGCGCCUUUUUUUUUGUCUGUUUAGCAGUGAUUCUGAAAUCAGAAUUUUCUCGGACACCCCUCUGGGGCUGGAUGUGGGCGAUUCCGUGCUGUCAGGUUGCACGCUGGAGUUUGUUUGCAAGAAGCUGAACAACAAUGAGUAAUAUUUAUAUUCAGGAGCCACCGUCAAACGGCAAGGUUUUGCUGAAAACAACUGCUGGAGAAAUUGAUAUUGAAUUGUGGUCAAAAGAGGCGCCAAAAGCAUGCCGAAACUUCGUCCAGCUGUGCUUAGAAGGUUAUUAUGAUAACACCAUAUUUCACAGAGUUGUUCCAGAGUUUAUUAUUCAAGGGGGAGAUCCUACAGGUACUGGAACAGGAGGUGAAUCUGUGUUCGGUAAACCUUUUAGGGAUGAAUUCCAUUCACGUCUCCGGUUUAAUCGCCGAGGACUGGUUGCCAUGGCAAACGCUGGACCUCACGAUAAUGGAAGCCAAUUUUUCUUUACUCUUGGUCGUGCCGAUGAGCUUAAUAACAAGCAUACCAUCUUUGGAAAGGUGACUGGUGACACCAUAUAUAAUAUUCUGAGACUAGCAGAGGUUGAUAUUGGAGAGGAUGAGAGACCUGUCAACCCACACAAGAUAAAAUGCACAGAGGUGCUUUUUAAUCCCUUUGAUGACAUAAUCCCCAGAAUAGAUAAAAAGACAAAAAAGGAUGAAGAAGAGGAAGGCAAGAAGUCCAAAGCAAAAGGCACAAAGAAUUUUAAUUUGCUUUCUUUUGGAGAAGAAGCAGAGGAGGAUGAGGAAGAGGUGAAUGAAGUCAGCAAGGUCAUGAGAGGCAAAAGUAAAAGCAGCCACGAUCUCUUGAAAGAUGACCCCCGACUCAGUUCCGUUCCAGCAGUGGAAAGAGAAAAAGAUUCUCAGAGUGCAGACAGUGACAAAGAUGAGGAUGAAAUGAGUGAUGAUGAUGAUGAUGAAGAAGAAGAUGAUGAAAUGGAUAGUGAUGAGAAGCAUCAGAUGAAAGACCGUAUUUCCAACAAGCUCAGAAAAGACCCAAGCAAAUCCAUAAAACAAGCAGAAAAUUCUGAUGAAGCAGAGGAAAGAAAAAGUAGCCGCAGUGAAGAAUUAAGAAGAGAAGCACGUCAGCUAAAACGGGAGCUAAAAGCAGCAAAAGAAAAAAAAGAAAAUAAUAUAAAAGAAUCAGAGACUGCUAAGGAAGCUGAAAACACAGUUGCUAACAGCGCUCUGGAAGAAUACCUUAAGGAAAAGGAAAAGUAUGAAGAAGUCAGAAAGAAAAAUACAAACAAAGGGGUAUCUAGGGAGCAGCAGACAUUAGCUCUUCUGGAUCGAUUCAAAUCAAAGCUCACACAAGCAAUUACUGAACCACCAAAAGAGGAAGAAGCGUCAGAUGUAGAUGAAGAGAAUGAUAAAGGAUGGGUGACCUUGAUUUCCUUUAAAUUUGUUUCUUUGUUCUAUGGGAAACCUGCUACUUAUCUUAUCCGUCUGGCUAACAAGUCAAACCCACUGGAAUAUAACAGAAAGAAAACCCGUAUAGCAUGUCUGGUUAUGUGAUUAAAAUGGAUGCCUAGGGGCAUUUCUAGGCACAGAGCCAAACCAAGAGAUUUCAACUACGUAUGGCUUGACUUUUAGGGAAUUAUUCCAUCCAUAACACAGUGCGUGCGUGAAAGGUUGUCUCACGUCCUGCAGUUUGAGGAGAAGAGCGGAAAGG